CCUACGGGUGGCAGCAGUGAGGAAUAUUGGUCAAUGGCCGAGAGGCUGAACCAGCCAAGUCGCGUGAGGGAAGACGGCCCUACGGGUUGUAAACCUCUUUUGUCGGGGAGCAAAGCGAGUCACGUGUGACUCAUUGAGAGUACCCGAAGAAAAAGCAUCGGCUAACUCCGUGCCAGCAGCCGCGGUAAUACGGAGGAUUCAAGCGUUAUCCGGAUUUAUUGGGUUUAAAGGGUGCGUAGGCGGUUCGAUAAGUUAGAGGUGAAAUCCCGGGGCUCAACUCCGGCACUGCCUCUGAUACUGUCGGGCUAGAGUUUAGUUGCGGUAGGCGGAAUGUAUGGUGUAGCGGUGAAAUGCAUAGAGAUCAUACAGAACACCGAUUGCGAAGGCAGCUUACCAAACUACGACUGACGUUGAGGCACGAAAGCGUGGGGAGCAAACAGGAUUAGAUACCCGAGUAGUC
rnacentral:rRNA from 1 species